CCAAAAAUGAGCCUGACACCUGGGGCCCAGGGCUCUAUGAAAAGAUCAAGCUUCAGUCCUCAAGCUACUGCUGAUUCAGACACUUAUAACACACUCACAACCAGAUCAGCCUCAUUCAACCCUAUAUCAGACAAGGACAGAAUGGACUGUGAAAGUUUUCAACGUGAGCAGGACCAGCUGUUGUGUCUAGUUAGUCAAGCACAAAAUGGACGAAUGGAUGAACAACGCUGCUCGAUUAACCCUUUAUCACCCAGACAUAAGGAUAACAGUCAGUCAGGUAAGUCUGCCAGCUGUUGUAAUUGAUCAAAUAGAUACAAAGGGCAAACCAAUCAGUGCAGUUUCUGUUUCUCUACACCUUCAAAACAGAUCAAGAUGUUGAGAAGUUUUUUAAACUCAUUGCUAACACCCAAAAUUGCCAGUUAGAUGACCAGCGAGCGACGCUUAACCGGUUGCCAGAGAUAAAAUCGCCUCAUGGUAUGACUGCUCAGGAUUCAGAUCAGCUCUUCAGCAUGGUCUCCAGAAUGCAGGGCUCUCGGAUAGAUGAUCAGCGCUGCUCUGCUCCCAAAAUCCACCUGGGGUCUCCCGCCCCCCCAAAGAAGUCUCAUUCUCAACCCGUAUC
ensembl:lncRNA